UACAGAGGGUGCGAGCGUUAAUCGGAAUUACUGGGCGUAAAGCGCGCGUAGGCGGCUUUGCAAGUCGAGUGUGAAAUCCCCAGGCUUAACCUGGGAACUGCAUUCGAGACUGCAUAGCUAGAGUAUGGGAGAGGGAAGUGGAAUUUCAGGUGUAGCGGUGAAAUGCGUAGAUAUCUGAAGGAACAUCAGUGGCGAAGGCGGCUAUCUGGACGGUUUCUGACGCUAAGACGCGAAAGCGUGGGGAGCAAACAGG
rnacentral:rRNA from 1 species